UGCAGUUUUGAAGACACUGUGACAAUACAAUGCUGAUAUGACACUUAUCAAACUGUCAUUUAUGGGUUACAUUGACUUUCAAGAAAAACAUGGAAAUUUGUUGUUUAGGUUUUACGUAAAACACAUACAUGUGUCGGUGGUUACAGUAAGUAAGUUAGACACAAAUAUUUUAUCCAUGAAAUACAUGAUUCUUUGUUUUUUUAACACCUACUAAGUGUUUAUUUUCCUAUGUUUUAAACAGUAUUUCAGAUAGUUCUAAAUUGUUUCUUGAACAGAGAUGGUUUGAUGGAGGUUUUUCAAACAGUCUUCCAAUUCUGCCUGUUGGACGAACAGUAACAGUAUCACCUUUUGGUGGCCGUAACGACAUCUGCCCAAAAGAUAAAGGGCAUGUUGAACUAUAUCUCAAAGUUGCUAAGCAGGAUAUCCUGGUAAGUUAAAUGUGGGUGCAAUAUGUAGCUCUUUUGAUAUAUUGUUUACUUUUCCCUUUAUGUUUAUCGAUAAUAAAAUACUGAAGCUAUUUUUUUUAUUUUAAUAAAACUUAAAAUGUUUUAAAUCUACCAAGAAACUGUAUUUUUCCCAUUCAUUUUAAGGAAAACUUAUUUUUCCCUACCCACUUUUCAAAUUCUGCCUAUUGUGCCAAUCCCUAGACAAUACAUCAUCAACCUCUGGUUCUUUUCUAUUCAAGAUGUAGUUUGACCAGAUAGAAACUUCACAUUCUGUUCAAUGAAGCUUGAAGUAUUGGACAUGCUUAACAUAUAACCACAAUAUAUAUAAAUCUGCUUGCAAAACCUGCAGUUCUCUUGUCUGCUAUCUUUGCAAGCUCUGCCCAGACUUUCUGUAGCUGUCCAAUCACAGUCUUCCCAAUACAGCUCAAUGAGAAGUUUUCGGAAGUCAGGCGCUCUUGGCAAUUGCUGCCUCUUGAGGUCAGCUGCAUUGAGCUAACCAAACCAGGAAGUAACAUUAUCUGUUGUCUGCCUGAAAGCCAAGGGGGUGUAACCAGGUUAAUUUGAAAUUUGCCAUUUUUACAAAAUGAAAAAAAAAGAACAAACUCUACACACAUAAAGCUUUUCAGCAAGCUAAAGCUGCUUAGGGGUCUGGAAUGACCCUUAAACCCCUUAAGGACCAAACUUCUGGAAUAAAAGGGAAUCCUGACAUGUCACACAUGUCAUGUGUCCUUAAGGGGUUAAAGUGAUGAUAAGAAACCAAUGGUGUACUUCUAUUUGUAAAGCUUAAAAAUGUGAGUCACUAGCUGGCAUACAAAUAUAAUUUGCACCUGUGAUUUUCUCCCCUAUAAAUCUAUCAGUGGGCAGAGGGAGAGGAAUAAUUAGCAGAUUUCAACAUUCUUUUGCACAACCCAGUUUUUAUCAGAGCAAGGGUUUGGGGGGAUUUUAGUUCAUUCAUCAGUUUUUUAUGUAUGAACAUUGUUAGCCAGCCUAAAACAUCCAGAAACAUUUGCUGUGCCUUCUGGUGACUAUGUUGGUUCUGAUAUCAUAGUGUUUGGCAAAUAUCACGUCCGCAUUGCACUUGUUAAUUAAAGAGAGAAACUGUUAUGCAUUACCUUGCCCUUUCCUCGCCUGUCUCCUUACUGAGGUGGGUGUUACACUUCUUUAACACCCAUCUUUGGUCCGCGUGUGCUCCUUCUUAGCUCUUCUAUCAUUUGCCCUCCUUGGGGACACUUCUCUCCUCCAUGAUGCUGACAUUCUGGCUUCAUUGCUAUACUGUGAGCCAUGCAAGGAGAAAAAAGUCACACAAUUCUUUUUGUGAUUCUGUGUACAAGUUAAUAACCUGUUAUUAUAUAAAUGGAAAAAAGUUUUUGAAGUAUGCAAAAUUUGAUGCAUUAUCUAUUGUGCAAUGGAAUAAAGAGAAUGGUAGCAUUUUUAAUUCCAAAUAAACAUUGUGGAACCUAGUAUGCUGCUUUGCCAAAGUAUUUUGACAGUCUAGGCAUGUAAAUAAUGCAUUUUUUCUUACAUAAACCUUUCCCACAGCUAUCAACUGCCAAUCUUGAAAGACUUAAUCAAGCAUUGUUCCCACCAAGCCAUGACAAAAUGGAGUCUAUUUUUCAAGAUGGAUUUGAAGACACAGUGAACUUUUUGCAAACAGAGAACUUGUUUGAAUAGAGAUUUGUGAUUGCUGUUAAAUUAAGCAAUGACAUUUUUGAUUGUCAAGAGAUGAAAUGAAACAAUUUCUUGAUGUAUGCGUUAGAAAGACCAUUAAUCAACUGAAAUACACUAAAUGCAAGCAAUGUCUUCACCAGUAUUGUUUAUCUUGUUGAUAUGCCAGAUUAAUAAAACAGUGGGCUAAAAAUAUGAAGGAAUAGCUGACGACUGUGCUUAUUUUGCAUUGUAUUUUGCUAAACAAAGUUACAAAGUAAAGCCAGAGUUAUGAAAAACUUAAACUAUUUAUUUUCAACAGAAUAUGUUGUUUGAUACACUAUUAAAAUCAUAGCAUGCAUUUCGUACAGAUAUAGGCUUAAGAUAUAGGCUUGUCUUCGAUGAUGAAUACUCUGGCUAUUGAUGGAUGAAAAGUAUUAAUCAUGUUUGAAAUGUUCUUUUUUCCUUCUCCUCUUGAGAAAAAAUGUCUGGUUUUCUAAUAACAUGUAUUAUAUUGAGUAUGUCUGGGAAAGAAAUAGUAAGUUUUUUUUAAUUAUUGCUGUUUAUUGUGCACAUUAAUUCUCUGCUGGAACUGUCUGUAUAGUACACAAUCAAACAAAAAUGCUUAUUAGCAAGAGACAGAGAGAAAUAACCAUGUGAAAUAUAAAUUAGGUAUUUUAGCACAUCUCGUUUUUUGUGUGCUAAUUACUGAAUACCUAUUUUGGUAUGGAGUAAGAUAGGCAUUAUAUUUUGUAAUCCUGUUGACCCCCACAGUGACGUGCCACCUCAUUAUUCAAGUUCACGGUGUGUAUUGACAGCAUUUCUCUUAAUAAAUAUGCAUCUUAAAUAAUGUUCACUGUAUCAUGUGCAAUAGUUUAUCACCUGUAUAAGAACAGUACUUUUUUGUCAUUAUAUGUUCACAAAGGUGGACGUAACCGCCUUGGAGACAAAGAUAUGAGAUGACAUUUAGACCUCCGCAGUGACACUGCAGGCCAAACAGUAGAGAAUUGGCUGUUGAGGGCCCUAUGCAGUAAUCAGCUAAGCAAGAAUAUCCUAAUAGACUUGGUGUUUAUACUGUAAGUCUUGCCAAGCUUUUGUCAGGCUCAGGUUCUGCUUCAGAGAUUUUACUGCAUUUUGCAUGCUACAUAGUGGGGUUCAUAACCUUUUAGGCUUUUUUUUUCUUGCCUGUCCCUGAUUACCUCUUUGUUUUUUUUUAUUUGGGUAGUGAGGUCCUUUAAUUGGGAUAUGGGAAUGGCUGCUUGCAUCUAUUUAUGUAUUUUUGCAUGUGUUUGUUCUAUAAAGAAUAAACUAUUUUUAAACUUUUUAUAAGCUGC